AAAAAACCCUAAAACAUUUUUCUCUCCUUCUCUUCCCCCCCUCCUUGGCAGCCGCUUCUCUCUUUUCCCCCAUUCUUGCCGGCGAGAUCCUCCAUCGUCGUUGAAGCCAGCAGCCGCUGGCAGCUAUUGCAUCUCCCCUUUGUUCUUCCUCCUCUUCUCCCUCCUUCUUCUCUGUCUCCUUUCUCCCGUCGCCCAACCUCCUCCUUCCCUUCUCCCUUUCGUUCUCUCCAUUUUGCUGGCGAAAACAGCAGAACCAGGCACCAGCAGUGCGCGUAGCAGCAACGCUUGGAGAGCCGCAGACAGGAGUAGCAGGCCAAGACCAGCAGCCCCAUCGGCGGAGAAGACGCCAGCCAACAACUCCGACGCCAGCCAACAACUCCGACUCCAGCGCCACCAGCAGCAGCGACAACAGCUCCAAACACAGCCGCUUCCCCUCUCUUCUCGCCUUUCUCCGACCAGCAGCCCCAGCGCCCCCUCUCUUCCUCCUCUCAUCCGCUUCUUCCAUCUCCUCCCGGCGAGAAGCGACCAUUGGUGAAGCCUCCAGCGAAACCAGCAACCUAGCGAGGAGAGCAGCAAGCAGUCACGGGCGAAAAUCCAGCAGUUGCGAUCAUCGGUGGGAGCAAGCAGCAGCUCCGGCCAGCGUGAACAGCAACCAGAAACAACGAGAUUUGGCGUUGUUCAAAGGUCUCAUGUUCGUGAAGAUGAACAUUGAUGGUCCCAAUCCGACAAAUGAAGCAGCCCCACAGUAAAUAAAUCAAAAAUUUGGAGUAGCACAACCCGACAACAUAACAAUUCGUCCCUACAAAUUAUAUAAAUUAGGUUUGGUGUUGGGAGAGGAUCUUGCCUGUACAGCCAUCAGCUCCUCCUCAACAUGAUGGUGACAUGUUACUUCCAUAUGCUAGGCGUUGGACGCGUGGAAUUGAUAGGGAUACCGAGUCACAUCAUGUUCUUAUCCCGAUCAGAGACCAGUUAAACCGCAUGACGGAGGAUCAGUUUCGAUGGACACUGUACAAUGAAAUUUUACAUACACUGCCUCAUUGUUGUAUGGUCGAUGAGCCUCUAUGGAUGGCAUGUGUCCCUAUGUUUUGCCUAGAGAUUGUUGAAGUGCACUCGCCUGAUAGAGUAAUGCGUCAGUUUGGUCAUUCCCAGCAUGUACCUGUGAUUCCUAGUUGGGGAACCAACCACCACGCGCAUGAUCAGCGUAGGAGGCUUGGAGCAGAGGUUCUUGAAAUGAUGGAUAAAUAUUUUUGUGAUUGGGGUAAUCGACAUCAGAGUUUAGCUGUUGAGGUAAAUGAUGGUACUAGCGGGGCAGGGUAUAGAUUAUGGUACAUGCGGCAUGGAAGAUUGCUUAUAGGUAGGCCUACAUUAGAGGUUGACGUAUCGUCAGGCUUUGUUCAUUUUGCUGGUACUAGUAUUGCAAUGUCCAGAGGACUAUUUAAAUUGUAUAGUCUUGCAUUACAGUGGCAGAGAGACACAACCUCUGCUUUACAUGGUGAAAAGGUAUCUCAGAUUGUUAAAGAUACAUUGCUUGAGGCCGGAAUACAAUUUAGAGAGCCAUUUUUUGAGGGAGAUCCUUUAUUUGAACAUGUGCGUGCAAGAGGACCCAGAAGUGGACGGAUGGGGCAUAGAGGUAGAGCUCGAGGACGCGCUCGAGGAUGUGGCGCUGGUGGUAUACCUAUUCCUCCAGACAUAGGGGCAGAUGUGAGAGUAGAGGCUGAUGAUUUGCAUGUUCAUCAGUUUGGCACGUCAGAUAUCAUGAAUUUAUUACAUAUGUCAUUUGAUCCUUAUUCAAGAUUGACUCGAGAUGUGGAAGGAAUUGGACAUAUGAGCUAUGAAUCAACAAUAGAUGUUGGAGAUUAUAUACCUGAUAUCGCGGGCACAUCAGGUACUGUCCGUUUUGACACUGAAGAUACUACUAUUUAUAACACUCAAGAUUUUAUUGAAGGAUUGUUUGAUGAUCCAAUUAAGUUGCAGGUUCGUGUUAUUUAUCUAUUUAAUACAGUAGCUAUUAACACUUUGAUU
rnacentral:misc_RNA from 1 species